rnacentral:lncRNA from 10 species
GCAAGGAAAUCUAUUUUAGAAAAACUGUAUCUGUGAAAAACUUUUUUAUUUAUUUGAAUAAAAUAUUGAUCCCAAAUAGGGCAGGAGAAACUGUCACAUUUCUCUGGUUCAAGGCAAAAAUAUUUAUAGAAGAAAAAUAUAAUCAAAAUACCUAUUUUUAAUUGGAUAUUUGAAUUUUACAUCAGAAAAUUAAAUCUCCAAUAUAGUUAUGUUACAUGCUUAUACCACAGUACAAUACAAAUAAAAAAUAUAAUUCUUACAUUUGCUACGCCGACUCCUUCAUUAAUUUACCAUGCCCUUUGUGAGGAUUUGAGACUGUGAGCCUUCAUCUUACCUAUCCUGUAUUUUUUUCUGGGUACAAAGCAGUGACCUGAAACAUAUAGACUUUUCAGAAUGAUUUGUCAUUUUUCCAUAAUGGAGGAAAACAAGAGCAGAAAGUCCAGAACUUUAGAGUCAAGGGCAAUGGAGAAAUUCAGUUCAACCAUAAUAUUACCAAAUGGGAACAGACUAGAAGUGAAGAUCUUAUAAAAAAUCUGAACUCAAGAUUUCCUAAAGUUCUUUUACUUUUGUUUAGCUGUUGAGAGUCACAAGGCAAGUCUCAAUAUAGCCUGUCUACGGGAGAAAAUUACUAAGCCCCACAGAGCCCACUAGAAAGAUGCAGGGAGGAUCUAUGCUGGGAGUACAGGCCAAUAGCACCUUUGAGAAUAGGACCCUCUGCCAUACUGUGAGAAGAAAAACUACAAGAUUAAUGUGAUAUCCAGCUUAUCAACUAGUAUUUAAUAACACUUAAAAAAUUCAUACAUCAUAAAUUACAGAAAUAAUAAUUAAGAACUGAAUCAUUUGUGAAUUGUGAAGUAGAACUGUUGGUUCGUAGUUAAGUGCUUGGUAAUUGUGUUGUUCACUAAUUAAUUAAAAAAUAUAUAUAUUUUUUGGCAUCAAGUAUCUGCCAAGCAGUGUUCCAGAUGCUGGAGAGCAGUGAGAACAAAAAUCUCUGCCCUUAUGGGGUAUACAUUUUAGAAGGGAGAGAAAAGACUAAAUAAGCAGAUCAUGUCCUGGAAAAGGUGAAAUUUGAGUGAAUUUUGACAAGAGCUCAGAUCCCAAAAAUCCUGAGAUUUUUAAGUAAAAAGAGUUCUAUUGGCUGGGUGUGGUGGCUUAUGCCUGUAAUCCCAGCACUUUGGGAGGCCGAGAUGGGCGGAACACAAGGUCAGGAGAUCGAGACCAUCCUGGCUAACAUGGUGAAACCCCAUCUGUACUAAAAAUACAAAAAAUUAGCCUGGCAUGCUGGCAGGCACCUGUGGUCCCAGCUACUUGGGAGGCUGAGGCAGG